rnacentral:rRNA from 1 species
GAUGAACGCUAGCUACAGGCUUAACACAUGCAAGUCGAGGGGAAACGACAUCGAAAGCUUGCUUUUGAUGGGCGUCGACCGGCGCACGGGUGAGUAACGCGUAUCCAACCUGCCCAUCACUUGGGAAUAACCUUGCGAAAGUAAGACUAAUACCCAAUGAUAUCCCACGAAGGCAUCGGAAUGGGAUAAAAGAUUUAUCGGUGAUGGAUGGGGAUGCGUCUGAUUAGCUUGUUGGCGGGGUAACGGCCCACCAAGGCAACGAUCAGUAGGGGUUCUGAGAGGAAGGUCCCCCACAUUGGAACUGAGACACGGUCCAAACUCCUACGGGAGGCAGCAGUGAGGAAUAUUGGUCAAUGGGCGAGAGCCUGAACCAGCCAAGUAGCGUGCAGGAAGACGGCCCUAUGGGUUGUAAACUGCUUUUAUAAGGGAAUAAAGUGGGUCACGUGUGACUUUUUGCAUGUACCUUAUGAAUAAGGACCGGCUAAUUCCGUG